rnacentral:rRNA from 1 species
UACGUAGGUGGCAAGCGUUGUCCGGAAUUAUUAGGCGUAAAGCGCGCGCAGGCGGUCUUUUAAGUCUGAUGUGAAAGCCCACGGCUCAACCGUGGAGGGUCAUUGGAAACUGGGAGACUUGAGUGCAGAAGAGAAGAGUGGAAUUCCACGUGUAGCGGUGAAAUGCGUAGAGAUCCGGAGGAACACCAGUGGCGAAGGCGGCUGGCUGGACCUGACCUGACGCUGAGGCGCGAAGGCGUGGGGAGCGAACGGG